UGGUGAUUUUGAGAAAUAUAUUUGCAAGCAUGUUGUUGAAGCCCUGAUGGAUAUAUUUUACAUUAAUGUAUGACCUGGCAUUCACAUAUAUGCUCGUCUUUUUGGAAUCGUCAUGAAUGAAAAGAUCUAGCUAUGAUGUUGCUGUCAAGGGCCCAAAGAAGUAGUGAAUCAGAGGGACAAGAGGGCGAGGAUGCUGUUAACACAGAAAACAAAGAGGAAUAUCAAUGUGUGGAGGAAGCUUCAUCACCGCCGUCCCUCGCUUGCCGUCUUCCAACACCAGGGAUGAUACAUAUAUCUCUACAAAU